ensembl:lncRNA
UACACAGGAUACAUUUUAUUGAGAUAAAAUAACACUACAUUAAAACUAUCUUGUUACUAUAUACUUUACUAUUAACCAAAAACAUAUUUGUCCAAAAAUACAAAACAUUAUUUUAAAGCACAAAACUUAAAUAGUGCAAAUUCCAACACUUAAAGUCAUAUGGUAAACAUAAAAGAGAAAAUGACACUGGCAGUUAAAGUGGGACAACAGCCAGCGUGUAAAUUCCUUCCAUAAGCACUAAACUUCAAGUUAAAUAAGUGUAAAGUGGAGGCCGGUGCUCUGUUUGCCACUGUUAAAGCUGUUUUUCCGCAUCCUGGUAGUCAUAAGCAAAGCUUUACAAUGCCUUUGUCUUCUAUGUUGGUUUUGUUUUAUUUAAAACUCCAGUGUUACUCAACGCUUCUGUUACUCAAACAGUUGUUUCCGAUCCGUUCUGUGACCCUUCCAAGAAAGUAGCAACAAAACAGACAAGCCUGUAAUAAAUCAAAUAAAGAGCACUUCAAACUAUUAUGUACCAGCAAGUUUGUUUGUUUUUCUUCCCCCAAACAAUGAGCACUUUUCAAACUUUCUCCCCCUCAUCCAUUAUUUUAUUUCACAAUCACAACUAAAUAUUCCUGAUUUACCUCCACUUACUAAUGGAAAUAAAUAAAUAAAUAAAUAAAUAAAGAUCAUCAAAAGUGAAACUACAGUAGCCACCUAGUGGACAACAGGCACAACUACAACCUUAAUCACCAAGCACCAGCUUUACAAAAAUGUAUCCCUGUUUUCCAUCUGGAAACAGACAAUUCAAGUCCACCUUCUCUUAUACUGAAAGCAUGUUGCUUAUAUUCAAAUACCCAUUUCUAAACCCACUAUAAUACAACAUUACUAAGCAUCAUUUAAACCAGUGUAUAAUACUGUUAAUGAGUGUUUAUGUUAUUUGGUCUACAUCUAAAAACAGUGUAAUGACAAAAACUCUAUAUGUGGUAUAUCUUUGCUGCUGAUAAUGCAGCAAAGUGAUUAUAAUGAGUGAAAACAAACAGUCCUGCAAACCCCGUUUUCACCGCUGAAAAGCUAAAUUUCAGCAUAUAGUCCAGGGGUGUCCAACUCCAGGCCUCAAGUGUCAGUGUCCUGCAGGAUUUAGAUGUGUCCUUAAUCCAACACAGCUGAUUUAAAUGGCUAAAUUACCUCCUCAACAUGUCUUGGAGUUCU